AGAGUUUGAUCAUGGCUCAGGAUGAACGCUAGCGGCAGGCUUAACACAUGCAAGUCGAGGGGUAUAGUUCUUCGGAGCUAGAGACCGGCGCACGGGUGCGUAACGCGUAUGCAAUCUACCUUUUACAGAGGGAUAGCCCAGAGAAAUUUGGAUUAAUACCCCAUAGUAUGUGAGAAUCGCAUGGUUUUCACAUUAAAGUCACAACGGUAAAAGAUGAGCAUGCGUCCCAUUAGCUUGUUGGUAAGGUAACGGCUUACCAAGGCAACGAUGGGUAGGGGUCCUGAGAGGGAGAUCCCCCACACUGGUACUGAGACACGGACCAGACUCCUACGGGAGGCAGCAGUGAGGAAUAUUGGACAAUGGGCGCAAGCCUGAUCCAGCCAUGCCGCGUGCAGGAUGACGGUCCUAUGGAUUGUAAACUGCUUUUGUACAGGAAGAAACACUCCCUCGUGAGGGAGCUUGACGGUACUGUAAGAAUAAGGAUCGGCUAACUCCGUGCCAGCAGCCGCGGUAAUACGGAGGAUCCAAGCGUUAUCCGGAACCUUGGGUUUAAAGGGUCC
rnacentral:rRNA from 1 species